rnacentral:rRNA from 1 species
GCUUAACACAUGCAAGUCGAGGGGCAGCAUGGUCUUAGCUUGCUAAGGCCGAUGGCGACCGGCGCACGGGUGAGUAACACGUAUCCAACCUGCCGUCUACUCUUGGACAGCCUUCUGAAAGGAAGAUUAAUACAAGAUGGCAUCAUGAGUCCGCAUGUUCACAUGAUUAAAGGUAUUCCGGUAGACGAUGGGGAUGCGUUCCAUUAGAUAGUAGGCGGGGUAACGGCCCACCUAGUCUUCGAUGGAUAGGGGUUCUGAGAGGAAGGUCCCCCACAUUGGAACUGAGACACGGUCCAAACUCCUACGGGAGGCAGCAGUGAGGAAUAUUGGUCAAUGGGCGAGAGCCUGAACCAGCCAAGUAGCGUGAAGGAUGACUGCCCUAUGGGUUGUAAACUUCUUUUAUAAAGGAAUAAAGUCGGGUAUGCAUACCCGUUUGCAUGUACUUUAUGAAUAAGGAUCGGCUAACUCCGUGCCAGCAGCCGCGGUAAUACGGAGGAUCCGAGCGUUAUCCGGAUUUAUUGGGUUUAAAGGGAGCGUAGAUGGAUGUUUAAGUCAGUUGUGAAAGUUUGCGGCUCAACCGUAAAAUUGCAGUUGAUACUGGAUAUCUUGAGUGCAGUUGAGGCAGGCGGAAUUCGUGGUGUAGCGGUGAAAUGCUUAGAUAUCACGAAGAACUCCGAUUGCGAAGGCAGCCUGCUAAGCUGCAACUGACAUUGAGGCUCGAAAGUGUGGGUAUCAAACAGGAUUAGAUACCCUGGUAGUCCACACGGUAAACGAUGAAUACUCGCUGUUUGCGAUAUACAGCAAGCGGCCAAGCGAAAGCGUUAAGUAUUCCACCUGGGGAGUACGCCGGCAACGGUGAAACUCAAAGGAAUUGACGGGGGCCCGCACAAGCGGAGGAACAUGUGGUUUAAUUCGAUGAUACGCGAGGAACCUUACCCGGGCUUAAAUUGCAGAUGAAUUACGGUGAAAGCCGUAAGCCGCAAGGCAUCUGUGAAGGUGCUGCAUGGUUGUCGUCAGCUCGUGCCGUGAGGUGUCGGCUUAAGUGCCAUAACGAGCGCAACCCUUGUUGUCAGUUACUAACAGGUUCCGCUGAGGACUCUGACAAGACUGCCAUCGUAAGAUGUGAGGAAGGUGGGGAUGACGUCAAAUCAGCACGGCCCUUACGUCCGGGGCUACACACGUGUUACAAUGGGGGGGUACAGAGGGCCGCUACCACGCGAGUGGAUGCCAAUCCCAAAAACCUCUCUCAGUUCGGACUGGAGUCUGCAACCCGACUCCACGAAGCUGGAUUCGCUAGUAAUCGCGCAUCAGCCACGGCGCGGUGAAUACGUUCCCGGGCCUUGUACACACCGCCCGUCAAGCCAUGGGAGCCGGGGGUACCUGAAGUGCGUAACCGCGAGGAGCGCCCUAGGGUAAAACUGGUGACUGGG